GUCACUCACUUUGCAACAUGCUGCAGUUGCUGCUGUGUCCAGCUUCACACAUGCAAAAGCAGCUGCAUCAUCGCAGCAAGUUGGAAGAUAUUGCAAGAGGCUAGGCUGCAGUUUCCAUUAUUAGCAGUUGCCACAGGUGGGAAGUGCCACACUCUACUGCAAGUGAAGUUAUUACCUUAAUUAUAAUUUCUAAGGCCACAGUAGGGUCCAGAUUUUUGUUUAUUUGGUUUGUUGUUUUUUACAUUCCCUCAUCUCCACAGCAAGCUAUGGCACCACACAAUCCAAGGAUCAUCAGUGACUGAGACUAUAUAUAACGUUCUAGAAACUGCAAAAACUAAGCAAGAGCAGAACUUGGGUUGUCCAUGAAACAUUGACCAUUCAGCCUCCACACAGGUGUUUGUAAUAUAACAGGAUUAUUAGACUGGAAGAUAAUAGGGUUCCUUAAGCAGAGACCUAAACACAGGUCUGCUGCAGGGAUUUCCCCCUAAUCUAAGGGAAGAAAAGGGAGAACAUUAUCUGAAUGUGGGGCUGUGUUUAAACAGGACACAGUUAAUUCACUGUGCCUGAACAUUACCUUAAAUAGGAGACUACUGGUUACCCCAGAUUCAGACUUUGUUUAUUGCAGUAUAGUCCCUUAACAGGGCUAGCCAAAGCCAUUUUGCUUUCUGAGACAAAGGACAAGAUGGCACCCUCCCCCAUUCUACAAGUAGAAGAUGUGUCAUGGGCCAGGAGUCAGCUUUGCCUGCUGAACAACAGCCUGAAGGGGGAGAAAGCGGAAUGACUCCACCUGCAACUGAUCAGCCUUCAAGGACACAGAGGAGAAUGUGCUGAUGAGAAACAGCUGGCUUCAGGCUUCUUAAAGCAGAGCUUCCAGAAGCAGUCAGAUACCGGUAACAACACUUGGAGUUCUUGGCCCUACCUUGCUGCUUCCUGGUUGUUUUGACCCUGGACCCCCUGAUCAUUGGAUUCCCUGACUCCUGGACUGUCUGAUCACAUAGAUUGCUGUUCACCCAACCCUAGGACUGGACCAGACUUUGGAUGCUGUCUCUGUCUCCAGAAUCAGUACCUUCAAGAACCGCAGCUUAGUUUCCAGUUCCAUCCGCUUCAUUAUAAAGGACUCAUUCACAGUAUCUAACCUGCAAACAGAUCUGGUUUCUAGACGGCUCACCAUCCCUUGAUCAUGCUCCAGUCAGCAUCCCUCUUAAAAUUUGGUGCCCAAAUAGACACUGUACUACAGAUGCAGCAUGACCAGUGCAA